rnacentral:rRNA from 1 species
AUUGAACGCUGGCGGCAGGCUUAACACAUGCAAGUCGAGCGGAGUGAUGGUGCUUGCACUAUCACUUAGCGGCGGACGGGUGAGUAAUGCUUAGGAAUCUGCCUAUUAGUGGGGGACAACAUCUCGAAAGGGAUGCUAAUACCGCAUACGUCCUACGGGAGAAAGCAGGGGAUCACUUGUGACCUUGCGCUAAUAGAUGAGCCUAAGUCGGAUUAGCUAGUUGGGGGGGUAAAGGCCUACCAAGGCGACGAUCUGUAGCGGGUCUGAGAGGAUGAUCCGCCACACUGGGACUGAGACACGGCCCAGACUCCUACGGGAGGCAGCAGUGGGGAAUAUUGGACAAUGGGGGGAACCCUGAUCCAGCCAUGCCGCGUGUGUGAAGAAGGCCUUAUGGUUGUAAAGCACUUUAAGCGAGGAGGAGGCUCUUUUGGUUAAUACCCAAGAUGAGUGGACGUUACUCGCAGAAUAAGCACCGGCCAACUCUGUGCCAGCAGCCGCGGUAA